AUUGAACGCUGGCGGCAUGCCUUACACAUGCAAGUCGAACGGCAGCACGGGUGCUUGCGCGUGGUGGCGAGUGGCGAACGGGUGCGUGAUACAUCGGAACAUGUCCUGUGGUGGGGGUUAGCGCGGCGAAAGCCGGCUUAAUACCGCGUACGACCCCCGGGCGAUAGAGGGGGCCCAUCGGGGCUCGCGCUGUCGGGUUGGCGGAGAGCUGAUUAGGUAGGUGGGGGGGGGAAGGCCUACCAAGGCGACGAUCAGUAGCUGGUCUGAGGGGACGACCAGCCACACUGGGACUGAGACACGGCCCAGACUCCUACGGGAGGCAGCAGUGGGGAAUUUUGGACAAUGGGCGAAAGCCUGAUCCAGCAAUGCCGCGUGUGUGAAGAAGGCCUUCGGGUUGUAAAGCACUUUUGUCCGGAAAGAAAUCCUUGGCUCUAAUACAGUCGGGGGAUGACGGUACCGGAAGAAUAAGCACCGGCUAACUACGUG
rnacentral:rRNA from 1 species